rfam:Camelus ferus unplaced genomic scaffold scaffold2484, whole genome shotgun sequence.
GGAGAGUACAGCUCAGUGGUGGAGUGCAUACUUAGCAUGCACGAGGUCCUGGGUUCAAUCCCCAGUACCUCCA